GAUGAAGAACGUAGCGAAAUGCGAUACGUAAUGUGAAUUGCAGAAUUCAGUGAAUCAUCGAAUCUUUGAACGCACAUUGCGCCUGCCAGCACUCUGGCAGGCAUGCCUGUUCGAGCGUCAUUUCAACCAUCAAGCCCUAGGCUUGCGUUGGAGCCCUGCGGCUGCCGCAGGCCCCUAAAAGCAGUGGCGGGCUCGCUAUCACACCGAGUGCAGUAGAUUACUCUUCGCUCAGGGCGUGUGGCGGGUUCCAGCCGUGAAACCCCCCACUGUAACCCCAAAGGUUGACCUCGGAUCAGGUAGGAAUACCCGCUGAACUUAAGCAUAUCAAUAAGCGGAGGA
rnacentral:misc_RNA from 1 species